UCCCUGGUGGCUCAGAUGGUAAAGCGUCUGCCUACAAUGUUGGAGACCCGGGUUCAAUCCCUGGUCGGGAAG
rnacentral:tRNA from 1 species